GACGGGUAGCCGGCCUGAGAGGGCGACCGGCCACACUGGGACUGAGACACGGCCCAGACUCCUACGGGAGGCAGCAGUGGGGAAUAUUGCACAAUGGGCGAAAGCCUGAUGCAGCGACGCCGCGUGAGGGAUGACGGCCUUCGGGUUGUAAACCUCUUUCAGCAGGGAAGAAGCGCAAGUGACGGUACCUGCAGAAGAAGCGCCGGCUAACUACGUGCCAGCAGCCGCGGUAAUACGUAGGGCGCAAGCGUUGUCCGGAAUUAUUGGGCGUAAAGAGCUCGUAGGCGGCUUGUCACGUCGGAUGUGAAAGCCCGGGGCUUAACCCCGGGUCUGCAUUCGAUACGGGCUAGCUAGAGUGUGGUAGGGGAGAUCGGAAUUCCUGGUGUAGCGGUGAAAUGCGCAGAUAUCAGGAGGAACACCGGUGGCGAAGGCGGAUCUCUGGGCCAUUACUGACGCUGAGGAGCGAAAGCGUGGGGAGCGAACAGGAUUAGAUACCCUGGUAGUCCACGCCGUAAACGUUGGGAACUAGGUGUUGGCGACAUUCCACGUCGUCGGUGCCGCAGCUAACGCAUUAAGUUC
rnacentral:rRNA from 1 species